AUACCGGGCCUUUUUGGGCUUGGUAAUUGGAAUGAGGGAGAGUUAAACGGACCAUCGAGUAUCCAUUGGAGGGCAAGUCUGGUGCCAGCAGCUGCGGUAAUACCAGCUCCAAUAGCGUAUAUUAAAGUUGUUGCAGUUAAAAAGCUCGUAGUUGGACUUGUGUGCGCUGUCCGCGGGUGGCCUGCGCCCAAAAGGGCGUUUCGGUUCGGCCCCGGUGGCGCCUUGAAAUCUGCAGCUGGGGGGACGUUGGCCUUAACUGGUCGGCGACCGCACGCCGGCUGCUCGGUUACUGUGAGAAAAUUAGAGUGUUCAAGGCAGGCAUUGGGUGCAAUUGAAUACAUUAGCAUGGAAUAAUAAAAUAUGGCUCCUGCCGUAUUUUGUUGGUUUUGACUGGUGGGAGUAAUGAUUGAUAGGGACGGUUGGGGGUGCUAGUAUUGAGCGGCCAGAGGUGAAAUUCAUGGAUUCGCUCAAGACUAACUUAUGCGAAAGCAUUCACCAAGGACGUCCUCUUUAAUCAAGAACGAAAGUUGGGGGAUCGAAGACGAUCAGAUACCGUCGUAGUCUCAACCAUAAACUAUGUCGACUUGGGAUCGGCGGUAGUUUUUUCAUUAAGACACUGUCGGGACCACGGGAGAAAUCAAAGUGUCUGGACUCUGGGGGAAGUAUGGUCGCAAGGCUGAAACUUGAAGGAAUUGACGGAAGGGCACCACCAGGAGUGGAGCCUGCGGCUUAAUUUGACACAACACGGGGAAACUUACCAGGUCCAGAGAUGUAGAGGAUUGACAGAUUGAAGCUCUUUCUUGAUCACUUCGGUGGUGGUGCAUGGCCGUUCUUAGUUGGUGGAGUGAUUUGUCUGGUUAAUUCCGUUAACGAACGAGACCUCAGCCUGCUAGUGUAGUCGGCUGGAUUGCCUUUGGCGAUCCGUGAUUUCGACUUCUUAGAGGGACAAUCGACGCGCAGUCGAUGGAAGUUUGAGGCAAUAACAGGUCUGUGAUGCCCUUAGAUGUUCUGGGCCGCACGCGCGCUACACUGCUGGGCUCAGCGAGUUUUACUUGGCCGAGAGGCCCGGUUAAUCUUGUGAAAUCCCAGCGUGCUUGGGCUCGCCUCCUGCAACUGGAGGCGCCAACGAGGAAUUCCUAGUAGACGCAGGUCAUCAACCUGCAUCGAUUACGUCCCUGCCCUUUGUACACACCGCCCGUCGUUCCAUAAGAGUGAGGCAUCCGGUGAAUUCUCGGGAGAGCCUGGGCGUGGCCAGCAAUGGUCUGCUCGGGUUUGAACUUGCAUAAACUUGGUGCCUAUGAUUAGGG
rnacentral:rRNA from 1 species